AUGAACGCUGGCGGCGUGCCUAAUACAUGCACGUCGAGCGAACAGACGAGGAGCUUGCUCCUCUGACGUUAGCGGCGGACGGGUGAGUUACCCGUGGGUAACCUACCUAUAAGACUGGGAUAACUUCGGGAAACCGGAGCUAAUACCGGAUAAUAUAUUGAACCGCAUGGUUCAAUAGUGAAAGGCGGUUUUGCUGUCACUUAUAGAUGGAUCCGCGCCGCAUUAGCUAGUUGGUAAGGUAACGGCUUACCAAGGCGACGAUCCGUAGCCGACCUGAGAGGGGGUCGGGCCACCCGGGAAUGAGGACACGGCCAGGAUUCUAACGGGGGCAGCAGGAGGGAAACCUCGGGAAUGGAGGGAAGGCUGAACGAGCAAAGGCGGGGGAGGGAAGAAAGGUUUCGGGAUGGAAAGACCUGUUGUUAGGGGAGGAAGAAAGGUGGAGGUAAAAGUGCACGCCGUGACGGUACCUAAUCAGAAAGCGACGGCUAACUACGUG
rnacentral:rRNA from 1 species